CCGGCGCAAAACCAGCCCUAUAUAAAACCAGCGUGACUUUCCUCCGCGCCGCGUCGCCGGGCAGCUCCAGCAGGAGGGUCCCAGUCUUCUUCAGGACACUUGCUUCUGGGAAAUUACCCCUUUCCUGGGGGAUUUUUAGGUCCUGCUCUGACCUCUCCAGCUACCUGGCCCUCGAGGAUUUCUGUCAGCUUCCUUCCCAGAGAUGUGGCACUAAAACAAGGUUUCUGCUCACCCUGAGGAGCAGCAGGCUCUGCUGUCGCCACGCUGAUGAGCACACUGUUCCGAGUAAAUCCUUCCUUGGCCUUUAAGAUUAGCAACCUUCUGGUUUCUAAACCAAAAACCUACUCCAAAGCUAUCAUCUCCUAGCUGGAGUGCGGAAUAGGUGGUUAUGAAAGAAUGAACUACCUGAUCCCAACCCCAUUACUCCUGGAAAGAUCCAGGACCAUGAUUUAAAAAGAAACUUAAAAGAACAGUCUUCAGCAAAAAGAAGAUAAACUGUAAAAGCCAGCAGAAGGAUAACACUCAAGAAACAGGUGAAAUGUCUGACUGGCUAUCAUUGGUUAAGAACAGUCCUCCACCAAAGGGGAAGCCCUGUACUGUAAAUUUAAGAAUGAAAAUAGGUUUUCUUUUGAGGUCAGGGUUGCGUCUCUUUUCGCUUAUUUUCUUGUAUCGGUAGGAAUGCAGGGGGCCAGUUUCUGCAACAGCAUUCGUUAUUGUCAGGUUUUGAGAUCACAUACUCAUCUCAAACAUCUGAGGGAGUCUGCUCCCCUUUCCGUGUUCCUUCCCUUUUCCCAUCCUUGAGAUUUGUUUCCCAGGUCACCACCUGCGCAUUCAAACUGAUCUGAAUUUCAUUGCGCCUGUCCUGCAGAAUUUAAAGGCUAUUGUGAUAGAGGGAACCUAUAUAUGCAUCUAUAUGCAUUAUGCCCGGGAGCGUGAAGAUCAAAAGUUUCUCAAAGUCAGCUUCAGGGCUUACCAUCUUUAUCCUGCAUUAACGGGUAAAUGAUAAGAGUCUUACCAAAGACAACUUACAAGUGAGCUCUUUGAUUUAACAGAUAUAUUUUUAUAGGAAAAAUCAAAGGGACUUAACUGAAAUAAUGGACGUACUUGCCAUGUUCCUACAGUCAUCUUUGGUUUUCCACGCAAGGGAAAGGAGAAGUGAAAUGGAAAAGCAGUGCAGCAAUAGCAUUUAUUUCUAAUUAUGAGUAUUUUGUGGUUCUAUAUAACACAUGCAUUAUUUUUGUGGUGCUACUAAAUAUGUGCUGCACAACUGCCGAAGCUGCUCAGGCAUUAGAUGGUUUAGAGAUUUUUAAGACUAUUAGUGUAAUAAUCUAUAAAUCCGGGAACCUGACUGACGCUUCAUUCAGAGUACUGUUAACCACCAUGGUAGCUUUGCAGAUGUGUGAACAGGGGAUACGAAGCAGCACUCUGAUGUUAAUUUAAACUUGCAGAUAGCUGUAAUUAGCUAAUAAGGUAAGCUAUUGCUGUAUUCUGUCCUUUCUGGACCUCGAGGUUCAAAUCUGAAACUCAAACAGUGGGAUUUUUUUCUAUUUUGAGGGAGGCUAAAGGAGCAUGUUCCUCUUCAUCUGGAAAGUACUGCUGACAGCCCUUCUUCAGGUGUUUACUAAGGGUUAAAUUAAUUUCUCAUCUAGAUCGGCUCUCCUUAGUCUCAGUUUACGUGUAUAUCUGCACUAAAUGGGAAUUAUAUAUACCUGAGAUCACGUACACUCCUAAGGCAGGAAGUACCAGAUUCAAUAAAAUGAAAGCUAAAGAAUUUACUUACAGCUUCUACAUACUAAUUCCAUGUUCUCUAUUACAACAGCAAAAUUUACUUUGAUGUCAGUGCAAGAUGUGGUUUGUCCUGUUGUCUGAUCGUGAUCUAUGACAGAAACAUCACGACUAAACCCCUGACCAACAUAAACCCCACCGGUACUGAUGAGGGUCUAUACUUAUUUUAUUACUUUCCUCAUUUUCAUUUUAAUGAAAACAUGUUACAAAUAGAGCUAAUGCCCUUAAAAUCUGGAUAGCCAGUAAAAAAAUACUCCUCCUAAUUCACAGUGCAUGAAUAUCCCAGUGCUGGCUUUUUGCAGCUAGGGAAAAAAUGGUAAUGGGACAGGACUGUAAUAUUGAGAAAAUAAAAGGUUUUUAUUUUUCUCUGGCAAACGGAAUAUAAAUUAUCCUCCUGAAGAAUAUUUUUCAUUAAACUGUAAGAAGUUCAAGCUGACAUAUUUUACAUACUUAGGCAUAAUAUGUGUCUUCACGCUGUGCAUGUAUGUUUUCCAUUUAUGAAGAGGAAACUGAAAAAUGCUUCUUUCCAUAAAAUGUGAAAGCUUUAUCGCAUCAUAAUGUCAACUCUUUGGAUUCUCACCUUGUCUUUUAACACAUCCCAUUGAAUUGGGGGCACCUCUCUUGGAGCAAAGAAACAUUCCUUUCCGUAACAUUAACUCCAAGAAAUCCAAAUGCCGUAUUUGGCCAUGAAUGAUCUUAGAAAUUCUUGUCAGAGAGAUCAGGAGUAUCUUUUGAAGAGGAUGAAUGGAAACAGAACUGUUACCCUGCAUGAAAUAUAUUUGCAAUAAAUAAGAGGUACUCAGUAAAUGUACAGAGGCAAUCAAGUAUAUUUCAUGCGUAUUGCGUGUGACUACACAAGAGGAAUGUUUGUUCUUUCUCAGUUAAAUAUCACAGGUUUUGUAACAAUUUUUGUCAUUGUCAGGCCUUGUAGGUAAAUAAAACAUUUUCAGUCAAAACAUAUAAGUAGUUAUUCUGCACACACAAUGCAAAUUCCUCUUGGAAAUAUUCCUCCCAGGUGGUGAUGUGGAGGACUUAUAAAACCAUAUCAUAAAUAACUGCUUUGCUUUUCUGUUUCUAUUAAAGAUAUUCUGUUGGAAAUGUUAUUGCUUCCAUUCCAGAUACUCAUCAUCUAUUUUCACUAUACCAUUUUCAUUUGGAGUUAAUGACCUCUGUGCUCUACAUCAUUUCUGCAAUGAAUGCCUACCUGUGUUCCAGGUUUGGGUAUACACAGAGUAAGAGUUUGUUUAUACCUAAUGGAAGGAUGCUUUUAAAAAAAUACCUUUUUUUUUUUUUUUUACAAUGUAUUGCUCUUAAUCAGAAUGGAAAUAAGUUUAUGAGUUUGUGUUAGAAAAAUUACUUCAGCCUUGGCUUUACACAUACCUGAUCCAUGUGUGAUCAUCUUGGGGAUCUCUUGCAGAUGAAUGUGGAUAAUUUUCAGGGAUAAUUAAGCCAAAACUGAAUUUCCUUUGACAUUCCUAUUGGCUUCAGUCAGCCAAAGGGUGGCAUUUACAAACCUGGGCUGAAGUUUGACAAAGGCUGGAGGGAAGUUCUGUGCUCUUCCAGGCUUUGCCGUAUGUUUCUGAAGCGUGCUCGGUUAUCUUGAAUCUUCCUUUUACUUGCAGAGAAGCAUUUUGAUUAUAUAUGGGUGUGUCUUCAGUUUCUCUUCUAGUAGGAUGACGUUUGUGAUAGCCAGCGUGUGGGACGCAGGACUUCAGCUGCCAGCAGAACUAUUCAAAGGCAACAUUUGAAUUUAUAGAGCUACUGAGGCUUACAGUGCAUUCACUGCACUAGUUUAGUACCUCUUGGAUGGGUUAAAGAGAGCGCCUCUCCUUCCGUUCUGCUGACUCUUCAUCGGCAUUUAUUUCCUUCUUGCAUAUGAAUUUUUAUAUUUACAUAUUAUGGGUCUAUUAGGAAUAUAAAGGCCAAUUAAUUAUUUUUCAGUUCAGAAAAGAGAUAAAGAUACUCCAUUCAGAAAGGAGAUUAAGAUACUCAUUUAUUAACUACUGGUUUUUUAUUAAACUGUUCAUGUUUUAGCCUAAAGUAUGGGGCUCGGUUGUAUGUAAUGGAAGUGAUUGUUUCAUAAAUUAUGUUCCUUUGGAAAUACUUCAGACCGUUCUUACCCUGUUACGCUGAAAGUGGGGUAACGAGCAAGACAUCUUCAGCGGGUUUGAUGUUUAAAUGCGAAUGUGUGAACAUUUCCGAGUUACUCUUUAUAAAUACACAAGGAUUUCCAAAGUGAUGUGUUUUAGGAAGGAUAUGAUUAUUAUAGAUACAGCUUAGUUUAUACCCUGUAUUUUAUCUUGUUCUCUAGAACAAAGAAAAUGUGCAUGAGUUUUACAGUGCUACAAUAAAUGUAAGUGGCUUCGCUUCUACAGAAGGGGAAAAUCUGUUUUCUGAUCUGUUUUCUGUGUAAGAUUUUACAUUCUUCAGAGAAAAAUCUCAAUGAGAUUUUAUGAUGGGUCAGUCUCUGUCCCUGUGUGCUCUGCUCAAACACCAUCUACAUGAAUGGUACAUCUGGUCCUGUCAAUGCGUCAGAGGCAUCACCUUAAGUAGCAUGUUUAUUUGAUUGACAGUGUGUGUCUUAGACAUUGGCAAGUAACUGGUUAACUCUGGACGGAAAGGUUGCCUUGCUAGUGGGAACUUUCUCUGCAGGGUCAUGAAGUGAAGCAGUCAGUGUAUUUACCCGUCUGUCACCCUUCUGGGGGAGGAUGCUCAUUCCUGCGGACCGAGACGGCUGAAGUACCCAGGAAAUAAUGUGAACAAUUUCAGGUUUAUCCAGCUUCACCGCAGCCCAGAAUUUCACCAAAUCUAGUGGAAAAUCCAGAUUAUGACCAUUAUCAAAUCCACCACUGCUACAACAGUCUCAGCAUCCAGGCAGACACCAUGACACGGCUUAACGUCUCAGGAGUGAUCGUCUAAAGAAGGGGGUGCGUACCUCUGAAUCACCUCAAAGGCAUAAAAAGAAUGCUAUGACACUUCUAAAAGCUGAGAGAGAUGUAUGAAGCUGAGUUCCCACCAAAGGCCACGGGUUCAUUUGCAACACCUCUUUUGAUUCGGGUUGUUGGUUUUUUUAAACUGAAUUUUCCUUACGCUCUUCUCCCCACCAUUACUUUGUUUUAAAUUUAAUUCCCUUUAAUGUUAAUCUCCCUGCUCUCUAAGAACCUCUUCAUCGGUCAGAGAGGAGGAAGUGAAACCUGUUGAUUAGAUGAAUAAAGCAGAAUUAGUCCUUCCAGCAGACAGAGCUUCCAGCCUCCGCAGAGCCACCCGCCGAAGUGCCGGGUGUCCAGAGCCAGUCCCUCCUCGCGCGGCGUGGAGCACCUACCCUGCCCGCUGAAGAGGCUACGCGGGCGCGUUGACGCUCGGGAGGUCGGCGUGAAGCAACGGGGUGAAUUGGGGCACGAGGUGCUUGUCGAAGGUUGCCAAACCUGGUAAAGCAUUUAGAGGGAAAAGGUCGUUGAGCAAGGCUCUGGUCGUCCCAGUAAGCGCCUGCUGGUGAUUCCGCCUGGAAGGCAGCAGCCUGCUCCAAAAGGCUUCUUGGACUGCACUCAUACGCCAGGUACAUCUGCAGGUACCUCUGCCCUGUUUUCAAGGGCAUGCCACAGAUUACGUCACCAGAUACCUUUGCUUGCAUAAGGGAGUAUGGUUUCCAUAGCCACACUGCCAUCCCCUUCGUCUCACUGCUUGCAAAUACCACCUCUGCCUUAAAAUGCAAAGGAUUAACUUCCCAAUUUAGAAAGGUCUGUGCUUAUGCAUGUAUCAAAACUGUCACAUUUUGAUUGUCCUUUUAAUGCUUUAAAAGCUGAACUUUUAAUUCAACUUCAAAGCAAGAAAUAUUUUUUUCUUGAACUCCUUGUAUUUACAGAGCUAUCUGUCUUUAGAUUAGACAAGCAGAUACAAGAAUUGUCUUGUAAAAUUGUAGUUUCCCUUUAAUAAGAUACUCUGACAGGCAAUUAUUCAUGCAGUCUGCUCUGUGCUAAAUGUUUUUUCAUGCUGUGCUCCCCUGUCUCUUGAUUGCAGGAAUGUGCUCCUGUGAAUUAUAAUUAUGAGUAAAUAUGAACUGGUACGUAUGAAAUGAUUUACUAGACCUUCCAUUGCUACAUGAUAUUAAUUCUGUUCUUCUCCAUUACAAAGAUACGGGAGUUUUAACGAAUAACCUAUAUUUUUUUCAUUCUUUGGCCUAUUAAGAUUGCUGUUACUAUUUACUGUAAGUUACUUUGACAGAAGCUGGAGAUACUAUGCAUAAAUUUCAUCAGAGACAAAUCGUUUGCUAAUGUUUAAAUUUCAGGACAAAUUUUUAAAAAUGUGUUAUAUAGUCCUGGAAAAAUGAGUAUUUUAUACACAUAUAAAAGGUGAGUCCAGUUCACCUUUAUAAUUAUUUCACUUUCAGCCGAUACUUUCAAACAAAAGGCACCAUGGCACUGAAUGUUGUCUUCAGGUUUGGCAGCUUUCAAAGAGUAAUUCAGUUUAUUGGUAUAAUUGUUUUUUAUUUUUAUUAGAUAAGAAUUUUUUCUAGAACUUCUUUACUUGUAAAGUGUUGGAGCCUGGUUAAAUCUAGUCACCCAGGAUACCUCAUGGCCAGUGGAGAAAGAAGUUAGCUGCAGCAAGCACUCACCCCACUUAUCUCAGGUGUAUCAGGAUGGGAUAAAUCAUCUCCUAAUGGUGCCCAUCCUUCUCCUUAACUAGACAGCCUAUAUAGAUUAUACAGACUAUAGACCAGGCGACUCCUUAGGUACUAACACUUAAACUGUACUUACCAGUAAUUGAAAAUUUUAUGGGAUGAAUAUAUAUGUAUAAAGUUAAAAGAUUUUCUGCUGGGGAGAGAUUUAUGCAACCAGCAUGUCAUAUUUAACUUCAUAAAACAGACAUUCACUCAUGAUAAAAAAAGUCUGAUCUUACUGUAUAUAGAUCCGUGACUAUUUGGGCCAUACCGGGAGAAAAACUAGAACUAUAUAAAAACUAUGUAACAAUGAUGCUCUUUGGCUUCAAAAAUGAGCUGUGUGGUAGAAAUGCACCAGGAAAGCACAAAAAUAGAAAUAACAUUGGGGGUCUUUUAGGGUAUAAAGUAUUUUUACUCUUAAGACAAAUACUGUUGACCAAAAUGUCAUAUUUCCUCAGCAAAAACGUUUGAGGUUAUGUAAGGCUCUCGGUUGUAUUUCAUCUUAAAAAUAGGAUUGCUUACAUGGGUAUGUAAAGAACAAAUCAUGCCAAGCAAAAAGGUAGAAUCAUAGAAGAAUGGGAGGAAGUACAUUAAGCAUCUAGAAUUUACUAAAGCAUUUGACACAGCGUGUCUCAAAAAUUGUGUUUGACAAAUGAAUCAAAAUGGAUUACGCAGAAACACAAUUACGAGUACAGGUAAUUGGCUGAGGAAUGCACUAAGGAGUCACGGUAAACACGAGAGCGAAAUCCUGGUCCCACACAGGUCUUUGUUAGGGCUUCACUGCGCCACGCGGGAGGAGGCUUCUGGUGAUUCGUUGCAGAAACAAUUUAAUUUACUCGCUGGGUCGUGUUCCUGGCAGAGAUGAGGAUUCAAGAAGAUACACAAAUAUUUUUUCCUUAAUUCCUGCGGUCGUUGCUGCCUUCUCUAGCUGAAGGUGUGGGUGGGCAGCAGAGACCUAGACCUUGGCUCUGAUCACAGAUAUACCUAUUCUACAUCCGUUUAGCCUUACCGAUUCAGCAGAAUUAUUUCUCUGAUUUACGGUGUUGCAGACGGACUGCAAUGCCCAACGUCACCUCCUGUGCAAGGUUGUCACCUUUUGAAGCCGUUUCCCCACGGCUCGUCCGUGAAAGUACUAAUUAAACCAUGAUAUUUGCUCCUGACAGGGCAGCAGUAACUUACAGAGCACGGAGUUUGCUGCCCAAGCAUACCCCUGCUGCCUGGCUGCUGGGAAUCAUGACGGCAAAGAAAGUUUCCUUGCUGUAAGAGCUGUAAGGCUAAAUGAGAACUAAAUGUAAGUCACUAUAUGCCAGCUUAGUGAUUGCCUUCACAGUCAAAAGCAAACCUGAGUAAAAUACGAGCUUGGAUUAUAUACCAAGGAAGCAACAGGCAAGGGUGGAAAUAGUAAUUGGCCUAUUUCACAAUUUCACCUUCUGUGUUUAGUUACAGCCCUGCAAAGAGAGUGCGAAGUACUGCAACUUGGGGUUGCGGUCCUGGUUUUCCCUUUACACUGUUUUGCUCUAGUGUAAAUGAUUACGUAGGCGCAGAGGUGGUGAAUUGGGCGCUGCAGGUACGGUGCAGUUUUGAUGAGCAAGGUGGGAUAUAAAAAAAAAACCAGGUCCCCUCUCUGGAAUAUAUAAACAGAUGAAAAUGAAGCAAGAGCUAGAUCUUACUGCCCAGGGUACAGCAUCGCAGCGGUCUGUCAGCCAGCAUGGAAAGCUGUUAUUUAAGUGCUCCAUCGGUUAUAAUGGAUUAAAAAAUACUGUACCCGAUAUGGGAUGCGGUGUCGAUUCUAGACCCUACAUUCUGCUACAAGGGCUAAAUGUGCUCCUUACUGGGAAUUUACCACCACUUAUGGCAGCAACUCUGACUUGAGGGCUAGGACCGUGCUCACCAUUUCUGUCAGAGCAGUUUGGCUAGGAUAUAUCUCAGCUACCUAAAAUAGUUCAAAUGGUAAAUAUUUAAUCUAUGUUUUCAGGUAGUCUCCCUCAGUGAUCAGUGAAGGAAGGAUAAUUCACCUCCAUUUUAAAUAUGUGCAAAACAGGUUGCAGAGGUAGUAUGUCAGUCCGUCUUUUUCUACUGCAUAAAGUUCGCCUUAACGGCUGCGCCCAGCAGAGCUGCUGCACCAGCCGAUGGGAGCGUGUGCAAUUCUUAGAAUUGGGCAGUUUUGUCACCCACCUCGGCUCUGGUUGACUUACUAAUAAGGUUAUGGACAGUGGCACAUGCUAUUUUGGUUUGAUUCACCACCUGCAAACUCCAGCUCUGUCAUUCACCCCUUCUGUAGCGCAGGGAUCCACAUCUGAGGUCUUGAAGUAGACUUGAGUCCACUUCUACCGUUCAAAUGACCUUCAUUAACACAUACGAUCAAACUGGUCAAACUCUAGAAACCAGUGGCAACGUUUCAUGAAAUAAAAGAUAUUUUCCUCCUGUAGGAAGAUCUUUCCACCAGCAUUAAACUGUUAGAGAGAAGCCUUUCACCUGAGAAUGUUUUAUAUUUAAAAGAGCAUUUGGCCAGAAUAUUUCAAUCAAUUAAUAUAUUUCAAUCUAGUAGUCAGAGGUUGAUGGAAAAGCUUUAGCUCUGGGGAGCUGCUCUAAGUUUAUUUUGAUUUCCAUGAGUGUAAACCAGCUCCACCUGCCCACAGCUGAGGCCACCUGGGCUGGCAAACUGCAGAGGUGAGGCCUGAGCUGACUGACAUAGAUGAAUAUUGCCGUUCAGAGUACUUUUAAAAAAUUAACUGCCUCAGUAUUCGAUAAUCAAAUAGCAUAAGGACCGCUAAUGAUCUAGUAUUCUUCAUUUUUAUUUCUAGAUCAAGUAGGCAGCAGCACCGAGCAGUGUAUAGUCACCGUUAUGAGUAAUGACCCUGAAAAGUGGACCCUUUCCUAAUUUGCUAAAAAUAAGAUUUUAUAUCUCUGUGAAAGCGUUGUCUCUUUCCUUUGGAUGAUUAAAUAGUGCACUGAGAUGUUAUGUUACAUUAAUGUACAGCCUGGAGAAGUCUCUAUUUAAACAGAACAGAUAGACUUCCUGAAGUUCAGUCUUUAAUCCUGUUUCACGUAUGGUGGUCUCAUAGGGAGAAUAUAAAGCGUGAAUAGUAGAGUCAUAGUCAUAAAAGAAAGGAAGUAAAAGGGCUUAACAUUGGGACUGUGGAAGCAGUUUUCAAGCAGUCCUUACUGAAAUCAGUGUUUUAAUCUGGUAAAAAUAGAACAUACGUUUACAAGAUUCUAUUUGAAUGGACUGAAAAUACUGUGAAAUAAAAAGCUCCGUCGUUUAUCCAGUGUGUUACUGUUUGCUUUUAUGAGAAUUUUGUCAUUGGCAGAACAAAUACUGUAGGCAUUUCCUGAUUUUUUUUCCUUCUACUUGGGAAAAUAACAAAAUAAAGAAAUAAUUCUUUAUUGU